rnacentral:tRNA from 2 species
GGGAGAGAUGGCUGAGUGGUUGAUAGCCCCGGUCUGAAAACCGGUAUAGUUCUUAAAACUACCGAGGGUUCA